GGGUUGUGAGGUUAAGCGACUAAGCGUACACGGUGGAUGCCCUGGCAGUCAGAGGCGAUGAAGGACGUGCUAAUCUGCGAUAAGCGUCGGUAAGGUGAUAUGAACCGUUAUAACCGGCGAUUUCCGAAUGGGGAAACCCAGUGUGUUUCGACACACUAUCAUUAACUGAAUCCAUAGGUUAAUGAGGCGAACCGGGGGAACUGAAACAUCUAAGUACCCCGAGGAAAAGAAAUCAACCGAGAUUCCCCCAGUAGCGGCGAGCGAACGGGGAGCAGCCCAGAGCCUGAAUCAGUGUGUGUGUUAGUGGAAGCGUCUGGAAAGGCGCGCGAUACAGGGUGACAGCCCCGUACACAAAAAUGCACAUAUUGUGAGCUCGAUGAGUAGGGCGGGACACGUGGUAUCCUGUCUGAAUAUGGGGGGACCAUCCUCCAAGGCUAAAUACUCCUGACUGACCGAUAGUGAACCAGUACCGUGAGGGAAAGGCGAAAAGAACCCCGGCGAGGGGAGUGAAAAAGAACCUGAAACCGUGUACGUACAAGCAGUGGGAGCACGCUUAGGCGUGUGACUGCGUACCUUUUGUAUAAUGGGUCAGCGACUUAUAUUCUGUAGCAAGGUUAACCGAAUAGGGGAGCCGAAGGGAAACCGAGUCUUAACUGGGCGUUAAGUUGCAGGGUAUAGACCCGAAACCCGGUGAUCUAGCCAUGGGCAGGUUGAAGGUUGGGUAACACUAACUGGAGGACCGAACCGACUAAUGUUGAAAAAUUAGCGGAUGACUUGUGGCUGGGGGUGAAAGGCCAAUCAAACCGGGAGAUAGCUGGUUCUCCCCGAAAGCUAUUUAGGUAGCGCCUCGUGAAUUCAUCUCCGGGGGUAGAGCACUGUUUCGGCAAGGGGGUCAUCCCGACUUACCAACCCGAUGCAAACUGCGAAUACCGGAGAAUGUUAUCACGGGAGACACACGGCGGGUGCUAACGUCCGUCGUGAAGAGGGAAACAACCCAGACCGCCAGCUAAGGUCCCAAAGUCAUGGUUAAGUGGGAAACGAUGUGGGAAGGCCCAGACAGCCAGGAUGUUGGCUUAGAAGCAGCCAUCAUUUAAAGAAAGCGUAAUAGCUCACUGGUCGAGUCGGCCUGCGCGGAAGAUGUAACGGGGCUAAACCAUGCACCGAAGCUGCGGCAGCGACGCUUAUGCGUUGUUGGGUAGGGGAGCGUUCUGUAAGCCUGCGAAGGUGUACUGUGAGGUAUGCUGGAGGUAUCAGAAGUGCGAAUGCUGACAUAAGUAACGAUAAAGCGGGUGAAAAGCCCGCUCGCCGGAAGACCAAGGGUUCCUGUCCAACGUUAAUCGGGGCAGGGUGAGUCGACCCCUAAGGCGAGGCCGAAAGGCGUAGUCGAUGGGAAACAGGUUAAUAUUCCUGUACUUGGUGUUACUGCGAAGGGGGGACGGAGAAGGCUAUGUUGGCCGGGCGACGGUUGUCCCGGUUUAAGCGUGUAGGCUGGUUUUCCAGGCAAAUCCGGAAAAUCAAGGCUGAGGCGUGAUGACGAGGCACUACGGUGCUGAAGCAACAAAUGCCCUGCUUCCAGGAAAAGCCUCUAAGCAUCAGGUAACAUCAAAUCGUACCCCAAACCGACACAGGUGGUCAGGUAGAGAAUACCAAGGCGCUUGAGAGAACUCGGGUGAAGGAACUAGGCAAAAUGGUGCCGUAACUUCGGGAGAAGGCACGCUGAUAUGUAGGUGAAGUCCCUCGCGGAUGGAGCUGAAAUCAGUCGAAGAUACCAGCUGGCUGCAACUGUUUAUUAAAAACACAGCACUGUGCAAACACGAAAGUGGACGUAUACGGUGUGACGCCUGCCCGGUGCCGGAAGGUUAAUUGAUGGGGUCAGCGCAAGCGAAGCUCUUGAUCGAAGCCCCGGUAAACGGCGGCCGUAACUAUAACGGUCCUAAGGUAGCGAAAUUCCUUGUCGGGUAAGUUCCGACCUGCACGAAUGGCGUAAUGAUGGCCAGGCUGUCUCCACCCGAGACUCAGUGAAAUUGAACUCGCUGUGAAGAUGCAGUGUACCCGCGGCAAGACGGAAAGACCCCGUGAACCUUUACUAUAGCUUGACACUGAACAUUGAGCCUUGAUGUGUAGGAUAGGUGGGAGGCUUUGAAGUGUGGACGCCAGUCUGCAUGGAGCCGACCUUGAAAUACCACCCUUUAAUGUUUGAUGUUCUAACGUUGACCCGUGAUCCGGGUUGCGGACAGUGUCUGGUGGGUAGUUUGACUGGGGCGGUCUCCUCCUAAAGAGUAACGGAGGAGCACGAAGGUUGGCUAAUCCUGGUCGGACAUCAGGAGGUUAGUGCAAUGGCAUAAGCCAGCUUGACUGCGAGCGUGACGGCGCGAGCAGGUGCGAAAGCAGGUCAUAGUGAUCCGGUGGUUCUGAAUGGAAGGGCCAUCGCUCAACGGAUAAAAGGUACUCCGGGGAUAACAGGCUGAUACCGCCCAAGAGUUCAUAUCGACGGCGGUGUUUGGCACCUCGAUGUCGGCUCAUCACAUCCUGGGGCUGAAGUAGGUCCCAAGGGUAUGGCUGUUCGCCAUUUAAAGUGGUACGCGAGCUGGGUUUAGAACGUCGUGAGACAGUUCGGUCCCUAUCUGCCGUGGGCGCUGGAGAACUGAGGGGGGCUGCUCCUAGUACGAGAGGACCGGAGUGGACGCAUCACUGGUGUUCGGGUUGUCAUGCCAAUGGCACUGCCCGGUAGCUAAAUGCGGAAGAGAUAAGUGCUGAAAGCAUCUAAGCACGAAACUUGCCCCGAGAUGAGUUCUCCCUGACCCUUUAAGGGUCCUGAAGGAACGUUGAAGACGACGACGUUGAUAGGCCGGGUGUGUAAGCGCAGCGAUGCGUUGAGCUAACCGGUACUAAUGAACCGUGAGGCUUAACCUUACAACGCCGAAGCUGUU
rnacentral:rRNA from 1 species